GCAAAGUGUUUUGCUUGCACAGGCCUAAUUAUAGACUGUAAUCCCGUGAGAAUUCUUACUUCGGCAAGUUUGGUUAAAAUUUCUGGCGAUGAAAACAAGAUUGAUGAUAACUUGCAGAUUGAAGUGUACCUUAAUAAUACAGAACAAGUCACGGGGACAUUGAGACAUUAUGAUCUAUGCUACAAUGUUGCGGUUGUAGAGAUCAUAGGUUCCUGCGGUUCUACCGCAGUGGGAUUGAGGAGGCAUAUUUCUUUCACCCCUAAUAUGGAGGUUUUAGCUGUAGGGCGUCUCAUUGAACAUCGGAAACUAAUGGCCUCAAGAGGGGUGUUAAUUGACAGAAAAGGCAAACUUGCUUGUGAAGAGCUUAGGAUUUCCACUUGUAAAAUCACCAAGGCCGGAAUUGGAGGGCCUCUUAUUGAUGCUCGAGGGAAUUUUGUUGGUAUGAAUUUCUUCCAUGAUGAAGAAACCC